ensembl:lncRNA
CUUACAACACCAUUUUCCCCUCCUCACCCCUUACAAAUAAAAUCUAAUUGAUCACAUGCUGUGUAAACAAGAGGUGAGAACUUGGUUAUAUACACAGGGUACCAGGUAAUAACAUGGCUAUAUACACAGGGUACCAGGUAAUAACAUGGCUAUAUACACAGGGUACCAGGUAAUAACUAGGCUAUAUACACAGGGUACCAGGUAAUAACAUGGCUAUAUACACAGGGUACCAGGUAAUUACUUGGUUAUAUACACAGGGUACCAGGUAAUUACUUGGCUAUAUACACAGGGGUACCAGUUAAUUACUUGGCUAUAUACACAGGCUACCAGGUAAUAACUUGGCUAUAUACACAGGGUACCACUACCAAGUCAAUGUGUAGUGGUAGAGGUAAUAACAUGGCUAUAUACACAGGGUACCAGUACCAAGUCAAUGUGCAGGGGUACGAGGUAAUGGUACGAGGUAAUUUACCCCUACCUAUAUGUACAUAUAGGUAGGGGUAAAGUGACUCGGCAUCAGGAUAGAUAAUAGACAGUAGCAGCAGCGUACGUGAUGAGUCAAAAGAGUUAGUGCAAAGUGGGUCAGUGCAGAUAGUCCAGGUAGCUCUCUACAGUGGAGGUCCUGGAUGGCAGGGCCCCAGUGAUGGACCGGGCCUUCCUCUGACACCGCCUGGUAUAGAGGUCCUGGAUGGCAGGAAGCUCAGCCCCAGUGAUGUACCGGGCCUUUCCUCUGACACCGCCUGGUAUAGAGGUCCUGGAUGGCAGGGAGCUCGGCCCCAGUGAUGUACCGGGCCGGGCCCAGUACCGUCAUUAGCGCCUGGCGGUCGGUCGGAUGCCGAGCAGUCGCCAUACUAAGCGGUGAUACAGGCUGUUGAACGUUUUGAGGAUCUGAGGGCCCAUGCCAAAUCUUGGCAAUCUUGGCAAUCUUGGCAAUCUUCUCUUUAGAAGAGGCGUUGUGGUGCUGGUGUGUGUGGACCACGAUAGUUCCUUAGUGAUGUGGACACCGAGGAACUUAUAAAGCUCUCGCUCCACUACGGCCCCCUUCAAUGUGGAUGGGAGGCGUGCUCACUUCUCCAUUUCCUGUAGUCCACGAUCAGCUCCUUUUUGUCUUGUAACACCCCCCCCCUCUCCUUCAAAAUCGUCACCCUGACCUUCAAAAUAGGCUAUUUGGCAUUGUGAUGUCAUAAUCUCCCCAAAUCCGGUCUGAUCCUGUGGUGUUGUGAGGGAUUUAUUCUAUGGCUUCAUCUAUGGGGUUGGACCUGCCUCUCGUAGGCUGUUUCCUAGUAGCUCCUGAGCUUCGUUAUGAAAGAGAGAUCCGUGGUUCCAGCAGCUCGCUGCCUGUCAGUACUGCUGAGGGGGGGGGAAACACAUCUCUUCUUUGUUGUUGCUGCACUUUCCUCCUCCUGCUGCUGCUGCUGCUGCUGCCGCCACUGGCUGGGGGUGGGACUGCAGCGGUCAUCCGGGCUAUGGAGCAAGACUCAGGAUUUACAUAAUCCACACUGUGAAUUAACGACUGAAGUCUAAAUGCUCACAUUCUCCCUUGGAGAGGGGGAGGGGAGAGAGAGAGAGGGAGGGGAG